rnacentral:lncRNA from 1 species
UGGUACCUAAAGGAAAAAUAAAUAAUUCAAAGCAUGUAUUUUUAAAAUUUUAUAGUAAAAAAUAAAAGAUUAAACACUUUAAUCUUUUAAACAUACUUUGGAUCAGAUUUAAACUAUCAAUUAAGGAUCUAUGAUAUAAAAAAUUUAUAUAUAAAAUCUGAUAUAAAAUAGAAAACUACAUCGAUCACAUUGAUGCCUUGAAUAUGAUCUAACCAU